rnacentral:rRNA from 1 species
UGGGGAAUUUUGGACAAUGGGCGCAAGCCUGAUCCAGCCAUGCCGCGUGAGUGAAGAAGGCCUUCGGGUUGUAAAGCUCUUUCGGCGGGGACGAAACGGUUCGUGACAACACCACGGACUAAUGACGGUACCCGCAUAAGAAGCACCGGCUAACUACGUGCCAGCAGCCGCGGUAAUACGUAGGGUGCGAGCGUUAAUCGGAAUUACUGGGCGUAAAGCGUGCGCAGGCGGCGACAUAAGACAGAUGUGAAAUCCCCGGGCUCAACCUGGGAACUGCGUUUGUGACUGUGUUGCUAGAGUGUAGCAGAGGGGGGUGAAUUCCACGUGUAGCAGUGAAAUGCGUAGAGAUGUGGAGGAACACCGAUGGCGAAGGCAGCCCCCUGGGUUAACACUGACGCUCAUGCACGAAAGCGUGGGGAGCAAACAGGAUUAGAUACCCAAGUAGUCCCUGAGCGGGCUGGCAAGGCGCAU